rnacentral:misc_RNA from 1 species
GGAAAGGAGCCUCAAUAACACCAUUGAACCAUUAAUGGAAAUGGUAAAGAAUUAAUUUACAAACUACAAUCUUCUCAUUUUAUAUUUUAUUUGAAUCAUUCCUCCAUUUUAUGCAAAGAUAAUACACAAAUUCUUUGCGUACUGAUAAUAAGAUUGCUCAUGCCACCAGAAUUUGAUAUGCUGAAGAUCCAAAGGAAUGCUUAUUUAUCAUCAAUGUAAAGGACUGUUAUUGACAGUCAAUUUUAGUAUAAAGUCUGGACUUCAGUAACAAUGCAAUUUAGCAUGCUUUUGGAUGAUAAGAUAUUUCAAAACAGAGUUGAUAGUGUUAUAAAUAUAAAUUAGCUAAGGUAUAUCAAAUUUGUAUAGCAUUUGACUUGGUUGUCCUAACAUUCUUUUACUGUCUUAUCCAGAAAACUGAAGAAACAGGGGAGACCAGUGUUCAUAUUCAUGAACUCAAAUAAUGCUUAUGUUCCGUGUGACUGGUGACACAGAUUGAAUUCAUAUUUUUUCAAUUGAAGGUAGAUGGUGAGAUGGCAUUAUGGUACCAUUUGAUUCUCUUAUAGCUGAAGUUGUUUUUCGUUCGUGCAUAAUAACUAGUAAGUAUCCUCACACUGCUAAGUUAUUCAGAAAUGAGAAGUCAACUAUCCAUUUUGUGGAGCUUUAAAUCUGUGCACAACUUACUUUAUAAAUAUUCAUUUUCCUAUGUAUUUUAAA